rnacentral:rRNA from 1 species
CGAAUGCUGACAUAAGUAACGAUAAAGCGGGUGAAAAGCCCGCUCGCCGGAAGACCAAGGGUUCCUGUCCAACGUUAAUCGGGGCAGGGUGAGUCGACCCCUAAGGCGAGGCCGAAAGGCGUAGUCGAUGGGAAACAGGUUAAUAUUCCUGUACUUGGUGUUACUGCGAAGGGGGGACGGAGAAGGCUAUGUUGGCCGGGCGACGGUUGUCCCGGUUUAAGCGUGUAGGCUGGUUUUCCAGGCAAAUCCGGAAAAUCAAGGCUGAGGCGUGAUGACGAGGCACUACGGUGCUGAAGCAACAAAUGCCCUGCUUCCAGGAAAAGCCUCUAAGCAUCAGGUAACAUCAAAUCGUACCCCAAACCGACACAGGUGGUCAGGUAGAGAAUACCAAGGCGCUUGAGAGAACUCGGGUGAAGGAACUAGGCAAAAUGGUGCCGUAACUUCGGGAGAAGGCACGCUGAUAUGUAGGUGAGGUCCCUCGCGGAUGGAGCUGAAAUCAGUCGAAGAUACCAGCUGGCUGCAACUGUUUAUUAAAAACACAGCACUGUGCAAACACGAAAGUGGACGUAUACGGUGUGACGCCUGCCCGGUGCCGGAAGGUUAAUUGAUGGGGUUAGCGCA